UUUUUGGGAUAUCGGGCACCGGGCCUCCUCCUCCGACUGAAACUCCUUCACAGUCUGUGCUCCGUGUGCCGCACAGGCGAUGUCCCGCUUCGUGUGCAAAAAAGCUCGUC
ncrna:unclassified sequences IMPDH RNA